rnacentral:rRNA from 1 species
UACGUAGGGUGCAAGCGUUGUCCGGAUUUACUGGGCGUAAAGCGCGCGUAGGCGGCUCGUUAAGUGUGAUGUGAAAUCCCUGGGCUCAACUCAGGAACUGCUUUACAUACUGGCGAGCUUGAGGGAUGCAGAGGUCUGUGGAAUUCCUGGUGUAACGGUGAAAUGUGUUGAUAUCAGGAGGAACACCCAUGGCGAAGGCAGCAGACUGGGCAUCGCCUGACGCUGAGGUGCGAAAGCGUGGGUAGCAAACAGG